GCCAGUGUAGCUCAGUGGUUAGAGUGUUGGCCUGUGCACCAGAGGGUCAUGGGUUCCAUUCCCAUCAAGGGCA
rnacentral:tRNA from 1 species